GUGCCUAACACAUGCAAGUCGAACGAGAAAGUCCGGUGUUGUAGCAAUACAAUACUGGGUGAGUAAAGUGGCGACCGGGUGAGUAACACGUGGAUAACCUACCUCCGAGCGGGGAAUAACCCUGGGAAACCGGGGCUAAUACCGCAUGACAUCCCGGUACGAUGGUAGCGGGAUUGAAACCUGGAAACGGGGCUGGGAGAGGGGUCCGCGGCCGAUUAGCUAGUUGGUGAGGUAAUGGCCCACCAAGGCUGUGAUCGGUAGCCGGCCUGAGAGGGCGGACGGCCACACUGGAACUGAAACACGGUCCAG
rnacentral:rRNA from 1 species